GACGAACGCUGGCGGCGUGCUUAACACAUGCAAGUCGAACGGAAAGGCCCUGCUUUUGUGGGGUGCUCGAGUGGCGAACGGGUGAGUAACACGUGAGUAACCUGCCCUUGACUUUGGGAUAACUUCAGGAAACUGGGGCUAAUACCGGAUAGGAGCUCCUGCUGCAUGGUGGGGGUUGGAAAGUUUCGGCGGUUGGGGAUGGACUCGCGGCUUAUCAGCUUGUUGGUGGGGUAGUGGCUUACCAAGGCUUUGACGGGUAGCCGGCCUGAGAGGGUGACCGGCCACAUUGGGACUGAGAUACGGCCCAGACUCCUACGGGAGGCAGCAGCGGGGAAUAUUGCACAAUGGGCGGAAGCCUGAUGCAGCAACGCCGCGUGCGGGAUGACGGCCUUCGGGUUGUAAACCGCUUUCGCCUGUGACGAAGCGUGAGUGACGAUAAUGGGUAAAGAAGCACCGGCUAACUACGUG
rnacentral:rRNA from 1 species